rnacentral:misc_RNA from 1 species
GGCAUUUCCUUUCCUCUUUAUAUUGAACAUUCUCUCUGUGAUUCAUUUAUUAACAUCUCUUCCUUAUUUUUCUUCGUCAACGAGAUCUUUUUCCAUUAUUUUCCUUUUGUUUCCUGGGAAAACUAGAAGACAACCUCCAAACUCGCUACUUUAAUUUCCUUUUAUCUCAGGUGUAUAUAUAUGUCAUCUUUGCAAUUUACUGAGUCAUAUGUGAAGCAUACUGGUAUAGUUUCAAGUGUUGGAGAACUUGUAUAAGGGAGGGAUUCUAAUGAUAAACGGGCGAUUAACAAAUUGAUCCAAAGAGAUAAGGGCACCAUUGAACGUCAUCAGCAAGAUUUGUUCAUAAAGGGCAGAGUCAUCAUGCUAGAUUUUGUUGUUUUUGCACCAUGGUAGCGAGCAUUUUUAUAUACCUUGUGAGUACGGAUACAACAUCACAGCUCACAGUUUUUAACAAGAAGAGUUUCCCUCUUAUGAAGAGCUAUUAG